UUGUCACUUCCUUUCAAAUUU
rnacentral:piRNA from 1 species